rnacentral:lncRNA from 7 species
CGGCACCCAGAACUCCCAAACGAAAGAUGCUACAUGGAGCAAAGACAAAGGCGAGAUUGGAGGAAAGGUUCUCACCGUGAACUGUGCGCGUAGAAGCUCGUCCAUGGCCAUAGGCAGUUCUGCGGCGGUGGAAUUGCUCUGUCGGGCAAUUGCUCCAGCCCAGAGAGCUCCCGCACCCAUCCACUCUCUCGAACAAGAUCCAGGCCCUCCGGCGAUCACACGAAAGCCAGCAAACAGCUGGAGUCGUAGCCCUUGGAUGCGCGUGCCGACUUAUAUGCAGUCGAGGUGAGAGUUGGUUACGCCAGCUGGGCACCUCCGCGCC